GGGGACCCGCACAAGCGGUGGAUGAUGUGGUUUAAUUCGAUGCAACGCGAAAACCUUUACCCACUUUGACAUGUAUGGAAGUUUCCAGAGAUGGAUUCGUGCUCGAAAGAGAGCCAUAACACAGGUGCUGCAUGGCUGUCGUCAGCUCGUGUCGUGAGAUGUUGGGUUAAGUCCCGCAACGAGCGCAACCCUUGUCAUUAGUUGCUACAUUUGGUUGGGCACUCUAAUGAGACUGCCGGUGACAAACCCGGAGGAAAGGUGGGGAUGACGUCAAGUCCUCAUGGCCCUUAUAGGUGGGGCUACACACGUCAUACAAUGGCCGGUACAGAGGGUAGCCAACCCGCGAGGGGGAGCCAAUCCCACAAAGCCGGUCGUAGUCCGGAUCGCAGUCUGCAACUCGACUGCCGUGAAGUCGGAAUCGCUAGUAAUCGCGGAUCAGCAUGUCGCGGUGAAUACGUUCCCGGGUCUU
rnacentral:rRNA from 1 species